AACGAACGCUGGCGGCAGGCUUAACACAUGCAAGUCGAACGCCCCGCAAGGGGAGUGGCAGACGGGUGAGUAACGCGUGGGAAUCUACCCAUCCCUACGGAAUAACGCAUGGAAACGUGUGCUAAUACCGUAUACGCCCUACGGGGGAAAGAUUUAUCGGGGAAGGAUGAGCCCGCGUUGGAUUAGCUAGUUGGUGGGGUAAAGGCCUACCAAGGCGACGAUCCAUAGCUGGUCUGAGAGGAUGAUCAGCCACAUUGGGACUGAGACACGGCCCAAACUCCUACGGGAGGCAGCAGUGGGGAAUAUUGGACAAUGGGCGCAAGCCUGAUCCAGCCAUGCCGCGUGAGUGAUGAAGGCCUUAGGGUUGUAAAGCUCUUUCACCGGAGAAGAUAAUGACGGUAUCCGGAGAAGAAGCCCCGGCUAACUUCGUG
rnacentral:rRNA from 1 species